ACCAGCUCUUCAAGUGGUCGGGAUGAUUAUUGGGCUUAAAGUGUCCGUAGCCGGUUUAGUAAGUUCCUGGUAAAAUCAGGUAGCUUAACUAUCUGUAUGCUAGGAAUACUACUAUACUAGAGGGCGGGAGAGGUCUGAGGUACUACAGGGGUAGGGGUGAAAUCUUAUAAUCCUUGUAGGACCACCAGUGGCGAAGGCGUCAGACUGGAACGUGCCUGACGGUGAGGGACGAAAGCCAGGGGAGCGAACCGGAUUAGAUACCCGGGUAGUCCUGGCCGUAAACGAUGCAUACUAGGUGAUGGCCCGGCCAUGAGCCGUGUCAGUGCCGUAGGGAACCUUAAGUGUGCCGCCUGGGAAGUACGGUCGCAAGGCUAAAACUUAAAGGAAUUGGCGGGGGAGCACCACAAGGGGUGAAGCCUGCGGUUC
rnacentral:rRNA from 1 species